rnacentral:rRNA from 1 species
GACGAACGCUGGCGGCGUGCUUAACACAUGCAAGUCGAACGAAGUGGCGAAAGGGUGAGUAACGCGUAAUCAACAUGCCCUUCAGUGGGGGACAACAGUUGGAAACGACUGCUAAUACCGCAUACGGAAGGAGGGGAUUGCGUCUGCUUGGCUAGUUGGAGGGGUAACGGCCCACCAAGGCGAUGAUCAGUAGCCGGUCUGAGAGGAUGGACGGCCACAUUGGGACUGAGACACGGCCCAGACUCCUACGGGAGGCAGCAAGUGGGAAUCUUCCGCAAUGGACGAAAGUCUGACGGAGCAACGCCGCGUGAGUGAUGACGGCCUUCGGGUUGUAAAGCUCUGUUAAUCGGGACGCGGUACCGGAAUAGAAAGCCACGGCUAACUACGUGCCAGCAGCCGCGGUAAUUC